rnacentral:tRNA from 1 species
AUUUAUAUAGUUUAAAAAAAACAUUACAUUUUCAAUGUAAAAUUAAAAUUUUUAUUUUUUUAAAUA